rnacentral:rRNA from 1 species
UACGUAGGGUGCGAGCGUUAUCCGGAAUUAUUGGGCGUAAAGAGCUCGUAGGCGGUUUGUCGCGUCUGCCGUGAAAGUCCGGGGGCUCAACUCCGGAUCUGCGGUGGGUACGGGCAGACUAGAGUGAUGUAGGGGGAGACUGGAAUUCCUGGUGUAGCGGUGAAAUGCGCAGAUAUCAGGAGGAACACCGAUGGCGAAGGCAGGUCUCUGGGCAUUAACUGACGCUGAGGAGCGAAAGCAUGGGGAGCGAACAGG